rnacentral:misc_RNA from 1 species
GUUUGAACUUGGCUUGCAUCUUCUACCUUGCCUAAUAUAAAUUCAACAUCAUCAACAAAACCAAUUUUCAACAUUUCAUCAACUUCAUCAAGAACACGGAACUUUAGGGACCUGAAAUCAAUAUUUCCUCUUUCGAUGUGGUCCUUAAUUCUUCCAGGAGUACCUACGACGAUAUCAACUCCUCUUUUUAGUUGAACUUGUUGUUGUCCCAUGGGUGAAUUUCCAUAUAAACAACAUGAAGUUAGCCCCACAGCCCCACCAUACACUUCAAAGUCAACAAACACCUGAAGUGCCAACUCCCUAGUAGGUAAAAGCACUAGGACACUUGGAGCCCUCCCAUACCCUGUUUUCCGUGAUACUU